AUAAGUAGCAAGUAUAGGAAGAUGAGACAAAAUCAGAUUCCUCACACCACCAACCGCAAAGGAAUGCUUCGUUUAGCUGAUGAUAUGAAAAAAAGAGUAGAGACUCAAGUAAGGUGACGAGGAGUAAGGUAUGGAUUGCGGGACACACUCAUGCUGAUGGUAGACCUGUGAAGCCUCAAUUUGCUGAGACUAUUGAACAAAUACAAUCACUUGAUAGUCAAAUGGACUCUACAUCAACUAUUGAUAACAUAAAGGAAGAUGCUGUGAGCAAGAUUUUGGGAAAAGACAAACCUGGACGAGUAAGGGGGUUUGGUAGAGGGAUUACAGCUACUAAGCUAGCGUUUCUGCAAUCUGGAGACGCAAAGAUGGCAGAAAUGAAAAGUGAGAUUGAAGAGUUAAGGGGCAUUGUCCGAGACUUAGCUGGAAAGAA